GACGAACGCUGGCGGCGUGCCUAAUACAUGCAAGUUGAGCGCUGAAGGUUGGUACUUGUACCAACUGGAUGAGCAGCGAACGGGUGAGUAACGCGUGGGGAAUCUGCCUUUGAGCGGGGGACAACAUUUGGAAACGAAUGCUAAUACCGCAUAAAAACUUUAAACACAAGUUUUAAGUUUGAAAGAUGCAAUUGCAUCACUCAAAGAUGAUCCCGCGUUGUAUUAGCUAGUUGGUGAGGUAAAGGCUCACCAAGGCGAUGAUACAUAGCCGACCUGAGAGGGUGAUCGGCCACAUUGGGACUGAGACACGGCCCAUACUCCUACGGGAGGCAGCAGUAGGGAAUCUUCGGCAAUGGACGAAAGUCUGACCGAGCAACGCCGCGUGAGUGAAGAAGGUUUUCGGAUCGUAAAACUCUGUUGGUAGAGAAGAACGUUGGUGAGAGUGGAAAGCUCAUCAAGUGACGGUAACUACCCAGAAAGGGACAGCUAACUACGUG
rnacentral:rRNA from 1 species